rnacentral:rRNA from 1 species
AACGAACGCUGGCGGCAUGCCUAACACAUGCAAGUCGAACGAGACCUUCGGGCCUAGUUGCGCACGGCGGCGUACGGCGUGGGAACUUGCCCGUGGGUUCCGUGUCCCUCCCCGAAGGGGAUGCUAAUGCCACUUAAGCUCUUCGCACCAAAGAUUUAUCGCUGUUGGAUGGGCGCGGGUUGGUUUAGCUGGUUGGUAGUGGAAAAGCAUGGCAUGGGGAGGUUCCAUGGCUGGUGUGAGAGGAUGCUCAUCCACACUGGGACUGAGACACGGCCCAGAGUCCUACGGGAGGGAGGAGUGGGGAACACUGGACGAUGGGCGAAAGCGUGAUACAGCAAUGCCGGGGGAGUGAGGAAGGCGUUAGGGUUGUAAAGCUCUUUUACCCGGGAUGAUAAUGACAGUACCGGGAGAAUAAGCUCCGGCUAACUCCGUG